ACGGAAGGCAGCAGUGGGGAAUAUUGCACAAUGGGGGAAACCCUGAUGCAGCAACGCCACGUGUGGGAAGAAGCAUUUCGGUGUGUAAACCACUGUCGUGAGGGAAUAAGGCAUUGUUUCGGCGAUGUUGAAUGUACCUCGAAAGGAAGCACCGGCAAACUUCGUGCCAGCAGCCGCGGUAAUACGAGGGGUGCAAGCGUUGUUCGGAAUCACUGGGCGUAAAGGGAGCGCAGGCGGAGAUGCAAGCGGACUGUACAAUCCCGGGGCCCAACCCCGGACCUGCAGUCCGGACUGCACCUCUUGGAUAGUUCAGGGGCAAGCGGAAUUCCUGGUGUAGCGGUGGAAUGCGUAGAGAUCAGGAAGAACACCGAUGGCGAAGGCAGCCUGCUGGGGACUUAUCGACGCUCAUGCUCGAAAGUGCGGGUAGCAAACAGGAUUAGAUACCCUGGUA
rnacentral:rRNA from 1 species